rnacentral:sRNA from 1 species
UAUUCAUGUAUAUUAACCACAUUUGUGCAAUGUAAAUGUAUAAUGUACCCGUAUAUCUGGUAAUUUUUGCGAUGAUCUAAUUUUCGCUUUCUUCGGGAUCUCUUUUAAGUCGCAGAUUUUUGAAUACGCAGAAAUUAUACUCUAUAUUAUUCUCUAUGAGAAACUUUUUAAAUCGCC